UAUAUGUGUGUGUGUAUUUCAUAUAUAUAUAUAUAUAUAUAUAGACAUGUUGGGUAGGUGCCAUCUUUAGUUCCAUGUAACUACCAGUAUGUUUACUAAAAUUACGGAGACCAUGAAUUUUUAUUGCAUUCAACAUGCUGUUUUUCACUGCUGACCAUAGAAAUAUAUAACAUUUUGAAUUAUAAGAUAUAUUUACAUGAUCAGGUAUUAACUGACUUUUUUUCUAUAUUCUAUAUUUUUUUACCUUGUUCUUUUCUUUCUUCAUUCUCCUUUGCCUUCCUCCCUUCCCAAUGCUUUCUAGGCUUCUGUUUCAAUCACUCCCAACUUUCUAUGCUUCUGCUAUCUGUCUCACUGGUUUAUUUUUUCUAGAUUUUUCUCUUGUUUACCAAGGCACUAAAAAAUGAUAGUCAAGACUAUAUUUUAAGUUUUAUAUUUUUACUUAUAAAAUUCUGUGUAACAGUUGUUAAACUAAAAAUCUUGUUCACUGUUUUGUUUUAAACUUUUCAUUUAGUUUUCUUACUAGUUAUUUCUCGCUAUGAAGAUGCUGGUUUAAACCUGUUCGACUAGUGUUGGAUAAAUUCUGAGGAGUAACCAGUAAGAAACUUGACUGAAAAAUGAAUUAUAUGGAGAUUAAAUUUAAAAAUUAAAUUAC